rnacentral:rRNA from 1 species
GUGGGGAAUAUUGCGCAAUGGGGGAAACCCUGACGCAGCAAUACCGCGUGAGUGAAGAAGGUUUUCGGAUCGUAAAACUCUUUUAUUGGGGAAGAAGAAGUGACGGUACCCAAUGAAGAAGUCCCGGCUAACUACGUGCCAGCGGCCGCGGUAAUACGUAGGGGACAAGCGUUGUCCGGAAUCACUGGGCGUAAAGGGCGCGUAGGCGGUUUUAUAAGUCAGAUGUGAAAGGUACCGGCUCAACCGGUGACGUGCAUUUGAAACUGUAAGACUUGAGUACUGGAGAGGCAAGUGGAAUUCCUAGUGUAGCGGUGAAAUGCGUAGAUAUUAGGAGGAACACCGGUGGCGAAGGCGGCUUGCUGGACAGAUACUGACGCUGAGGUGCGAAAGCGUGGGGAGCGAACAGGAUUAGAAACCCUAGUAGUCC